GGAUGUGAGAGCGAUCUGGCUGUGACAACUAUCACCCCACUAAUUGCCAGGGUUGAUUCAGCUGAUCUGGCUGGUAGGUGGGUGUCCCCUUUCUCUUAACUGCUCCAUGUGAGUCCCUCCUGAAGCUGCCUGCUCAGUUGAAGAGGAUGACCAGCUCUGAUAGAGAAGGACCAUUCUUUGGUCAAGGGUGUAUGAGUAGCUGUACUCCCCUGCUAGAACCCCCAAAUGAGCUCUCAAGAGCUAGUUUUUUGAAAAUAUAACUAAAAGUAACAAGUUUCUAGGCUCCCAAGAAGAAAAGAGAGAGAACCCAAAUAAACAAAAAAGAAAUAAUUU
rnacentral:snRNA from 1 species